rnacentral:rRNA from 1 species
UACGGGGGGGCAAGCGUUGUUCGGAAUUACUGGGCGUAAAAGGCUCGUAGGCGGCCAACUAAGUCAGACGUGAAAUCCCUCGGCUUAACCGGGGAACUGCGUCUGAUACUGGAUGGCUUGAGAUUGGGAGAGGGAUGCGGAAUUCCAGGUGUAGCGGUGAAAUGCGUAGAUAUCUGGAGGAACACCGGUGGCGAAGGCGGCAUCCUGGACCAACACUGACGCUGAGGGAGCGAAAGCCAGGGGAGCAAACGGG